AUGAUUCUAUUUGUUCGACUACUACAAAUAUCUAAAAUUACAUGUUUGGCAGUGUUCAUUGACCACACCGAUGGAGCUGGAAGGAACUGGGAGUUUUCUGAAGAAAGUGGCUUCAUCAGGUUGUGAUAACUGGGUGAAUACAGAAGAAUGAGGAACCUGGACAUGGAGAGAGAGGAACUUCGGUCCAGGAGGAAGCAGACGCAUCAGUGCAUAUUUGCAAGGUAUGUGAUAAAUACAUGAUAGAAAUCUUUGCAGAGAAAUAUGAACCAAAGGGGAA
rnacentral:lncRNA from 1 species